CUAAUUAAACUUUAAGCCUCCAUAUUUAACAACUGUGGAGAGUAGAAAGAAUUAAAAAAGAAGGCAAAGACUUGAAGAAGUCUACAUUAUAUAAUUUCGAAGAAUUUAUGAGUAGCAGAUAAGGAAUUUAAGGAGAACCCAUCUCCAACUUCAUUUACAUUAUCAAACAAUAACCAUUGAAGCUGGGCAAACAAAGUAAUGGCCAAGGAAAUUCUUAAUCAACCUGUUUCUGAGUUGGAGGCUGAUGAUCCAUCAAAUACUAUCCCAUUUUCACCUUAUAAGCCAGGCUGCUGUGAGUUUCUCUGGUUUAUUCACAUCUUCAAGUUGUUCUUGAGUCCUACAACUCUACCUAAAGCUCUAAGAGCAUAGUAGGGAAGACUUUGAGGUGGUUCACGUUGAUAACAAGUGAAGAUAGGAGCUAAACAUACGUUUUCUUAGAGAGUUCAUCAAAGGUAAGAGUAGGGACAUGCCGGCGAAUGAAAAGCAAAAUUUGUGAACGAGCCACUGGGACCAGUUUUAUGCUUUCGCUCAUGAGAUUUAAAGUUCUUUUCAUGUUCUUCUUAACUUUUAGUUUUGAUGCUUAAAACUUACUUUUAAGAAUUUUUUUUCAGACU